rnacentral:rRNA from 1 species
UACAGAGGUGGCAAGCGUUGUUCGGAAUUACUGGGCGUAAAGGGCGCGUAGGUGGCCUUCUUCGUCAGACGUGAAAUCCCCGGGCUUAACUCGGGAACUGCGUCUGAUACUGGAUGGCUUGAAUCCGGGAGAGGGAUGCAGAAUUCCAGGUGUAGCGGUGAAAUGCGUAGAUAUCUGGAGGAAUACCGGUGGCGAAGGCGGCAUCCUGGACCGGCAUUGACGCUGAGAAGCGAAAGCCAGGGGAGCAAACGGG